rnacentral:tRNA from 1 species
CGGAGACUGGCGCAAUUGGCUAGCGCACGUGCUUUGGGAGCACGGGGUUGUGGGUUCGAGUCCCACGUCUCCGACCA